GACACCGUUUGUGGACGAAUUCGCUGAAGCCGUUCCUGGAAAAUCGCGCACGAAUAAUUUUAUUACACAGUGUUUGUCAGACUGAUAUAAGUAUGAAAGUACGUCUACCCACGUACAUGUAUUUCUCCCUCGUACCGAAACAAUGAAUCAAUAGCAAGUAAAAUCACGCAGACACCGUAUAUUAAAACUGGAAUUGGACAAUGGGCUCGAACCACGUUGGGCAGGCGGAAAAACACAAAGGACCGUUGAACUUUGUCCUGUUAAUCAUUCUGAAUUAGUGAUAUCGGGCGAUGCGCCGGUGAAUCCUGGUUCGCGAAAUUUAUUUUUUAACUAUAUUAUAUGAUAUGUGUAGACCUGGAUGUAUUUGCUGUACGUUUCCAGACGCAUUUUACAACCCUGAGGUUUGAAAGAGAGUGGUUGAACGGAAGAGCAAUGAAUUGUGUAAAAUACAGGUCUGCCUAAUCCUUAUUCAGAACGAACAAUAAAGGAUAAUCUGAUUACUCGGGAGAUUAGAAUCAAUCUGAGCGGAGAUACGAACAAGUUAACCGGUAUUAUAAAUUCGAAAGUUCCGAAGUAAUUACUUAAGAUCGUAAUUGCUUGAAAUAACAUCUUUGUAAAUCACUCACUUCAGACUCCGCAACGGUUCGGUAAAUUACAGGUAAUGAUGUACAU